GUUCAGAACAUCUUCAGUGUGCAACAAGUAUAAGUGAAUUGAAAUUCAGUCAUGAAAUCCAGUCUUGACUUCAGCACCUGUCUGACUUCAGGGGACAGAAAACUUCUCUGAUGGUGUUUGGGCAACAGAUCUGUACAGGAGCAUGAAGUAUAUCAGUCCUCCUUGUCUGGACUAACUCUUCCACCUGAAGAGGCUGAAGAUGCUUCACCUGAAAGGUUUAUUUAUACUUCAUGAUCUGGAGUCAUGAUCUGGAAUUUGUUGAAGUGUUAUAAUACCAUGAGGGUCUUUUACAACUUCAUUGU